GACGAACGCUGGCGGCGUGCUUAACACAUGCAAGUCGAACGGAAAGGCCCUGCUUUUGUGGGGUUCUCGAGUGGCGAACGGGUGAGUAACACGUGAGUAACCUGCCCUUGACUUUGGGAUAACUUCAGGAAACUGGGGCUAAUACCGGAUAGGAGCUCCUGCUGCAUGGUGGGGGUUGGAAAGUUUCGGCGGUUGGGGAUGGACUCGCGGCUUAUCAGCUUGUUGGUGGGGUAGUGGCUUACCAAGGCUUUGACGGGUAGCCGGCCUGAGAGGGUGACCGGCCACAUUGGGACUGAGAUACGGCCCAGACUCAUACGGGAGGCAGCAGUGGGGAAUAUUGCACAAUGGGCGGAAGCCUGAUGCAGCAACGCCGCGUGCGGGAUGACGGCCUUCGGGUUGUAAACCGCUUUCGCCUGUGACGAAGCGUGAGUGACGGUAAUGGGUAAAGAAGCACCGGCGAACUACGU
rnacentral:rRNA from 1 species